UCAGUCAUAUCUAAGAGAACUGUAGUGCUGU
rnacentral:piRNA from 1 species